rnacentral:lncRNA from 1 species
UUUGGCUUUCCUCAGGCCCAUAGAAAAGUUCAGAGCCUUUUUUAAAAAAAAUCUUUUUUGUUGUAGGUGGAUACAAUACCUUUUUGUUUUAUUUUUAUGUGGUGCUGAGGAUUAAACUAGUGCUUCACAGAUGGCAUGCUUAGGCGAGCGCUCUUUCCUCUGAGCCACAACCCCAGCCCCAGGGCCUCUUAAUAACAACAGUAGCUAACUAUCUAGUGCUUACCUGGUGCCCAGCCCCUGGCAUGUGAUGCCAUUAGCAUUGCCAGACAUCAGUGGGGGUUGGGGUGGGACAAGGAAGGGCACUGUGCACCUCUGCUUUCUGCUAGUCCCAACUCCCCUGUCCUCUACCAGGGAGAAGAGGAGAAAACCACCCACUGGGAGAAGAGGAGAAAACCCCGCCCAUGGCCUUUACAGGAGCCUGACCCUCUCAUCACUCCCUCUGUUAGGAGGAGGGGACAGCUGUCCCUACUUUGUUCUAAUCCCCCUGAUCCCCUGUAGUUUCCUUCACUAUCUCCCAGUUUUCCCAGGGGAGGCUUCCCCUCUUGCCUCUUUUGGGACGAGGUUAUUAGGUGGGUGGACGGACAAGUGUCCCCUCACAUGGGACUGACUGUUGGUUGUAGCCCUGGCACCAAGCUCCUGGAGCCAGAGCCUGGCUUUGAUCUGCAUGACAGGAUGUGCUCUCUUGGGGUCUGUAUGGCAAGGCAGGCUGCCCCACAGGAGUCUUGGGGUCCUUUGGGAAGUGACACAGUGAGACUGCAGGUGCUGCCUCUCAGCACAGGACAGAACCUGCUGCUGGCACUCAAGUCUGCUGAUCGCUUUAUGGCUCACUGUUGUAACUCU